ACGGUUAUAAAGCAACAUAUUGAUUUAUAAGCAUGGAAAUCCCCUGAGUGAAACAACGAAUUGCUGUGUGUAGUCUUUGCCCAUCUCCCACGAUGGGCUUUUUUUUAA
rnacentral:other from 1 species